UACGAAGGGGGCUAUCGUUGUUCGGAUUUACUGGGCGUAAAGCGCGUGUAGGCGGGGCGUUAAGUCGGGGGUGAAAGCCCAGAGCUCAACUCUGGAACUGCCUUCGAUACUGGCGGCCUUGAGUGAGGAAGAGGCGAGUGGAAUUGCGAGUGUAGAGGUGAAAUUCGUAGAUAUUCGCAGGAACACCAGUGGCGAAGGCGGCUCGCUGGUUCUUUGCUGACGCUGAGACGCGAAAGCGUGGGGAGCAAACAGG
rnacentral:rRNA from 1 species